rnacentral:lncRNA from 1 species
CAAAUGACAUUUGUUUCCCUACAGUUUCUGCUCAUUUCCUGUUCUCCAAAGCAAAGGAGAACAAAGCAGUUCAAUCUUCUGAAUGGCAACCUUUCAAACAUGUGGCCACUGCCUUGCCUUGCAUGAAUCUUCUAUUCUCUAGGCUGAACAUAACCUGCUUGCAAAAAUUGUUCUUUAUAGGACCUGGUUUUCCAGAUCCAAUGCCAUCCUGGCUGCUCAAGUCCAGUUUAUCAAUGACUUUCUAAGAAUAUGGUGCCCAGAACUAAACACUGUACACCCACAACCUCUGGCAGGGAUAUCUGUACCAGUCAAGAUGAUUCUGUUGCUCUGGGGACACUCCAAGCAGAACAGCCUCACGGAGACAAAAAUAGUCCUAAGAGUGAGCAGCAUAUGCCCAUUCUUCCUUCAAAGUGUUAUAAUUUAAUGUGCUUGGCCUGUCAACAAAAUUGCGCACGGUUGCUCUGCAUAAUAUAUCUU